rnacentral:rRNA from 1 species
GUGGGGAAUUGUUCGCAAUGGGCGCAAGCCUGACGACGCAACGCCGCGUGGAGGAUGAAGGUCUUCGGAUUGUAAACUCCUGUUGCCCGGGACGAAAAGCUCCGACCUAAUACGUCGGAGUCUGACGGUACCGGGUGAGGAAGCCCCGGCUAACUCUGUGCCAGCAGCCGCGGUAAUACAGAGGGGGCGAGCGUUGUUCGGAAUUACUGGGCGUAAAGGGCGCGUAGGCGGCCUUUUAAGUCGAACGUGAAAUCCCCGGGCUCAACCCGGGAACUGCGUCCGAGACUGGAGGGCUCGAAUCCGGGAGAGGGAUGUGGAAUUCCAGGUGUAGCGGUGAAAUGCGUAGAUAUCUGGAGGAACAUCGGUGGCGAAGGCGGCAUCCUGGACCGGUAUUGACGCUGAGGCGCGAAAGCCAGGGGAGCAAACGGG